rnacentral:rRNA from 1 species
GAAUGCCUACGGGAGGCAGCAGUGAGGAAUAUUGGUCAAUGGUCGGGAGACUGAACCAGCCACGCCGCGUGAGGGAUGAAGGUACAGAGUAUCGUAAACCUCUUUUGUCAGGGAACAAAGGCGGGGCCGUGUCCCCGGAUGAGUGUACCUGAAGAAAAAGCAUCGGCUAACUCCGUGCCAGCAGCCGCGGUAAUACGGAGGAUUCGAGCGUUAUCCGGAUUUAUUGGGUUUAAAGGGUGCGCAUGCGGUCUGUUAAGUCAGCGGUAAAAUUUCGGGG